UGAUCGAGUCCAACAAAGAGGAGGAAGGCAGAAGGGAGAGCGACCAGGGCAAGAUCUAACCAUUUCUAUGAAACCAAGACGCUAUCCCAGAAGUAAACUCGUCUGUAUUGGAGAACUGAAGGUGAGCGUGGAGCCAAGGAAGGCCAGAGUUGGGGCUGAAAGGGGAGAUUUGGAGGAGGACCAUGGGCUUUCUCAAAGAAGAAAGUCCUCUCAGGCGGAGAGAAAUCCCAAGAAAAGGUCCAGGAACCAGAAUGCCUCUCUUCUGUGGAAACUGGGAUUGUGAUUUCAUUUGUGUGGGAAAGUCCCACACUCCGUGCUCUACCUUCCUCAUCAGCACUUCUGCUACAGAUGAGCUAGGAAGCCCAAGAGCUCCAGAAGCAGCAACAUCUCCCACACCACUGGUCCUAUUUCCAGUCCAGCCCCUCCAACCAUCACCCUGGGAAGCAUUUCUUCUGGACAUGUGAUCUGGCAAAGACUUCUUUUUAAUAAAAGCUUUUUUUAUUUUCAA